rnacentral:rRNA from 1 species
GGACCUUUCCUUCGGGAGAGGAGCGUACACAGGUGCUGCACGGCUGUCGUCAGCUCGUGUCGUGAGAUGUUGGGUUAAGUCCCGUAACGAGCGCAACCCUUGUCCUUAGUUACCAGCACGUUAUGGUGGGCACUCUAAGGAGACUGCCGGUGACAACCGGAGGAAGGUGGGGAUGACGUCAAGUCAUCAUGGCCCUUACGGCCUGGGCUACACACGUGCUACAAUGGUCGGUACAAAGGGUUGCCAAGCCGCGAGGUGGAGCUAAUCCCAUAAAACCGAUCGUAGUCCGGAUCGCAGUCUGCAACUCGACUGCGUGAAGUCGGAAUCGCUAGUAAUCGUGAAUCAGAAUGUCACGGUGAAUACGUUCCCGGGCCUU